rnacentral:tRNA from 1 species
UCCCUGGUGCUCCAGUGGUUAAGAUUCUGUACUCCCAGUGCAGGGACCUGGGUUUGAUCCCUGGUCAGGGAA